rnacentral:lncRNA from 1 species
GUGAACCCUCCUUUAAUAGUCAUAUUUCAUUAAUAUACAGGGUCCAUUUUGACACAAGACAACAAUCCAGACUAAGAAUUUACCAAAGGUCAGAUCAUAAUGAAUACGGGUGUUAUAUGGACAGAGUCGAACUGAUCUCAGAUCAGCACUCAUACUCUGAUGGCGAAUUCUCUCUCUCCGAUCAUCCUUUCCAUAAUUUCAGAAUGUCACCAGGUGUGGAGGUGUAACCAGGGUGUAGUGAUGUAGUAAAUUAAUGUCACCAGGUGUGG